rnacentral:rRNA from 1 species
AAGAGAUCGGGAUAACACCUGGAAACAGAUGCUAAUACCGGAUAACAACAGAUGAUGCCUAUCAACUGUUUAAAAGAUGGUUCUGCUAUCACUCUUGGAUGGACCUGCGGUGCAUUAGCUAGUUGGUAGGGUAACGGCCUACCAAGGCGAUGAUGCAUAGCCGAGUUGAGAGACUGAUCGGCCACAUUGGGACUGAGACACGGGCCCAAACUUCUACGGGAGGCAGCAGGC